GAUGAACGCUAGCGGCAGGCUUAAUACAUGCAAGUCGAGGGGCAGCAGGACUGUAGCAAUACAGUUGCUGGCGACCGGCAAACGGGUGCGGAACACGUACGCAACCUACCCAAAACUGGGGGAUAGCCCGGGGAAACCCGGAUUAAUACCUCGUAACCUUUUUAAGUGGCAUCACUUGAUAAGUAUAGCUCCGGCGGUUUUGGAUGGGCGUGCGCCUGAUUAGGUAGUUGGUGCGGGUAACGGCCCACCAAGCCCGCGAUCAGUAACUGGUGUGAGAGCACGACCAGUCACACGGGCACUGGGACACGGGCCCGACUCCUACGGGAGGCAGCAGUAAGGAAUAUUGGUCAAUGGACGCAAGUCUGAACCAGCCAUGCCGCGUGAAGGAUGAAGGUCCUCUGGAUUGUAAACUUCUUUUAUGGUGGACGAAACCCGGAUAUUCUGAUCCGAUUGACGGUACCUCAGGAAUAAGCACCGGCUAACUCCGUG
rnacentral:rRNA from 1 species